rnacentral:snoRNA from 1 species
GCCCUCCUGAUUCCUUACCCCUCAGAUCGAAAUAUUGGUCUGAGUGACUAAAAGAAGGAGGGAAAGUAAAAUCGGAUUUAGGGGUCUUCAGUGAUAAGCAAGUUCAUUCCAAAUAUAU